UAAUUGAACUUCACAUUCCAGGCCACUUUAUAUAAUAGAGAAACUAUAGCUUUUUAACAUUGCCUCGCAAGUGUUCGAUUUAAUGGCUCGUUGUUUUAUUGGAAUCUGCUGGUCAAUCUUUUGAUUUCUCUCUACUACCAGGUAUGAACAAUCUAAUUUUUGUGUACUUUGUAAACUUCGAUGUCCAGGAGUACUAAUUCAAUUUUUACUAGUUUAUUUAUUUAUUGUUUUUACACCAUUCUUCCACGACGUGAAAAAUAGGGAAAAUCUAGCAUCCAACAUUUGGCUACAUAUCCACUGAACCUAACCUAACAUCAUUCGGUCGAAAGAUGACUGAAAAAGGUAUUGGUUCACAUUGAUUCUUUAUUUCAUUGUGAUGAAUGGCUUAAUGAUGUCGCAUUUUUUGGAUGUAAGAUUUUAUUGUUUUGCAAUAGCAAAGAGAAUUUUUUUUUUUCAUUUUAGAUAUUAUGUCUGUAUAAUGUGAAGUUUGAAUAGCCAUUUAGAUUUAGGGGAUUUGUUCUGUAAUUUUCUCCAUACGUGAAAUUUGAAUUAGCGUUAGAUAAAUUAUGUUGUUGUUGUACAUUAUUUGAAAUUAUAAUUAAUUUGUUUGUUGCAGGGAAAGAAAUUUUGGAAUAUGUGGAUGACAUUAUACCGGUGGAGUCUGAUAAUGAGAAAGUUGUGAAAAAUACAAACAUACCGGGUGAUAAUAUGUUAGUUAGAGAUAGUGUGAUUGUGCCUGAGGUGGGUAUGAAAUUUAAGGAUGAAAAUGAAAUAUUCGAUUUUUACAAAAGAUAUGCAUACGAAAUUGGUUUUCCAAUCAGAAAAAGAAAUUCGAGAAAGGAUGAUGAUGGAGUAUGGAGAAAUAUUAUAUUUGUUUGUAGUUGUGAAGGAAAAAGAAUCAGAAAUACAAGCGGUUCUUUGAAGCCGCAAGCAACCAUUCAGAGUGGAUGUAAAGUCAAGAUCACAGCACCAGUUGAUAUUUGCGGAAUAUGGAGAAUUAACACAGUACACCUGGACCACAUUCAUAAGACAAGCCCUUCGAAGUCUAGGCUAUAUCGAUGCAACCGAGAGUUGAGUGGUCAUGUGAAACGAUGACUUGAAGUAAAUGACAUGCUGGAAUUCCAUUGCACAAGAGUUACAACUCUAUAGUUGUUGAAGCAUGUGGAUAUGAGAAUAUGACUUGCAUCGAAAAGGAUUGUCAAGACUAUGUUGAAAAAGUUAGGCGUUUAAGAUUUGGAGAAGGGAACGCAGCAGCAAUACAAUCAUACUUCUCUAAAACGUAAGCAUGGUACUCGGGCUUUUACUUUAGUAUGGAUUUGAAUGAUGAGUUGCGUCUAAAGAAUGUUUUCUAGACAGAUAAUAGUAGUAGGCAAAUGUAUAAGGAGUUCGAUGAUGUCGUCACAUUCGACACCACAUACCUCACUAACAAGUACGAUAUGCCAUUUGACCCUUUUGUUGGAGUGAACCAUCAUGGACAGUCGACACUUCUUGGAUGUGGUCUACUAUCGAAUGAGGAUACGAAGACAUUUGUAUAGUUGUUUCGGACCUGGUUACAAUGCAUGCACGGACAAGCUCCGCAUGAAAUAAUUACAGAUUAUGAUAGGGCUAUGAUACAAUCCAGAUCGUGUUCCCCAAUACAAAACAUAGAUGGUUUUUGUGGCAUAUAUUGAAGAAGUUGCCUAAGAAGUUUGGAUACCAUGUGCAUAAAGGUUCAAUAUUUACAACCAUUCACAAUUUGGUCUAUGAUUGUCAAUUUGUAGACGAAUUCGAGAAUGGCUAGAGAGUGAUGAUCGAAACGUUUAACUUGCAUGAUAAUGAGUGGUUGGCAGGUUUGUAUGAGAAUAGGGAACGUUGGGUACCUUGCUAUUUGAAAACCACAUUUUGGGCAGGAAUGUCAACAACUCAACGCAGUAAGAAUAUGAAUGCAUUCUUUAAUGGUCAUAUACAUUCGAAGACAAUGUUGAAGCAAUUUGUUGAACAAUAUGAACGAGCACUGAGGAGUAAGGUUGGGAAGGAGUUUCAAGCAGACUUCAAGUCCUUCUCGUAAAUGGUAUCAUGUGCAACGAGAUAUGAAAUGGAGAAGUAAUUCCAAGCUGUUUACACAAUUUCAAAAUUUAAAAAAGUUCAGAAGGAGUUCAUAGGUAAGGUUUAUUGCGACCUCAUAUUUGUCUCGGAGGGAUUAUUGAGGGAGACCUAUGAGAUACGAGAGGAUGUAAUACAUGACGAGCGCUCUAAGAAAAAACCUUUUUCGUCUCAUUUCAAAGAGACAAAUGUGAAAUCACUUGCAGUUGUCAUAAUUUUGAGUUUCGAGGGAUUAUUUGCAGGCAUAUGAUCGCCGUAUUGAUUCAUAAUGAUGUUAAAUUAGUAUCGAAACAAUAUAUACUACGGAGAUGGCGACGAGAUGUCAGUAGAGCCCACACAAGGGUAGCAGUGGACUAUGAUGGUUUAAUUAGUACUCCUGGACAAUUAAAGUACAACAAAAUGUGUCAACGGUUUGCUACAUUGGCCAGCAUGACUGCAGAUGAUUAACUCAAAUCUGAUGCCAUAAUUGAUUGGAUCGACAAUUAAUGUAAACAGAUGAUGACGUUGAGGUCAAGUAGUAGAAGUAGUAAUGUCAUGUCCCAGCAUAAUACUCAGAUAUCAUCCGACUAUGGAACAACAGAGGAUACUGGAAGUGAUAGCAUACGAGAUCCCAAAUGUGCGAAAAGAAAAGGUGCCCCUAAGAAACUUCGUAAGAAGAGCCCGCUAGAAUCGGGUUUGAACAAAGUUAAGGCAACUUCGAAUUCAACCAAAGGGAAGAAACCGAAGGUUUACACAAGUAAUAUGGGAAAUGUUGCAACCAUCUUUUAGUCUCCUCAACCAUUACAAAUACCGCUACCUUUCUCGUAUACAAACCUCCUUAUUGGUGGCAAUCAAAACCUUAAAUUCACACAACACUUGCAAUCCACAUGUAUCAACCCUCCAUCGUCAACAAGUCUUACAUUUAAUAUGCAAGUUUUGGGUAGAAGACAUGUAAAUGAUGCUGCUGGCAAUGACACACGACAGUUGGGAAUGAAUUUUGAUGGAGGAAGUUCAAAUGCUCACUAAUUACUAGCCCCAAGCAAGCUGGUCUUUUUGUAAAACUAGAAUAGCAUAUUCUGCAAUGCAUUUCGAUGUCAAACUGGUCUUUUUGUAAAGCUGGAAUAGCAUGUUGUUGGUGCGAGUAGAUUUCGAUUUCGAUGCAGUGCAAUGUUAAAAGUUAUUUUUAAUUUUGAAUGCUGUGAUGAAUUUGGACUUGGUUAGAUGAAUCUUUUUUUGUCAUCCUAUCAAACUUGAUAAUAAGUGAUGACAAAAUAGAGUUCUGGAAUAUAUUUGACUUUGUUUUCUGUAGCCUCAAUUGGUGUUUGUUUAUUUUAUUCCAUUCUUCCAACAACUCACAGGAAUGAGCGUGUUCAUGUUUUAUGCCCCGUUCCUGUUGAAAACCAUUGAUUUUGGAGCUAAUGCUUCCUUAUUUUCUUGAAGGUGGACUGCAAAUGUUAAUUUUCCGGGUACUGUACUUAAUUUACUUAUAUAUUUCAGCUUUUAAUUAUUUUAACUAAUCAUAUUUUACACGGUGCAGAUUAUUGUUACAGUUUGCAUUGGAAUUAAAUUUGGUCUAAAUGGAAAUCCUGGUGGAUUGCAACAUUGGUAUGCAACGUUGUGCGUUUAUGUCGCUGGAUUUGCUUGGUCUUGGGGACCUCUUAGUUGGUUGGUGCCAAGUGAAAUUUUGCCUCUUGAAGUCCGAUCGGCUAGAUAGAGCAUCAAUUUUUAAGUUAAUAUGGUCAAUGUUUUCUAUGUAUAACAGAUUGUUUUAUGUUGAUCAUUUGUUAAUUUCAACAUUUUUAGAUGGAAAGCCUUAACAGUCAAGCCCGUCACGAGAAAUUGUGAUGCUUUUUUGUUUUUUUA